CCUUGUACACACCGCCCGUCACAUCACGAGAGUUUGUAACACCCGAAGUCGGUGGAGUAACCGUAAGGAGCUAGCCGCCUAAGGUGGGACAGAUGAUUGGGGUG
rnacentral:rRNA from 1 species